UACGGGAGGCAGCAGUGAGGAAUAUUGGACAAUGGGCGGGAGCCUGAUCCAGCCAUGCCGCGUGCAGGAUGACGGCCCUAUGGGUUGUAAACUGCUUUUAUACGGGAAGAAACGCACCUACGUGUAGGUGUCUGACGGUACCGUAAGAAUAAGGACCGGCUAACUCCGUGCCAGCAGCCGCGGUAAUACGGAGGGUCCGAGCGUUAUCCGGAAUCAUUGGGUUUAAAGGGUCCGUAGGCGGGCCUGUAAGUCAGGGGUGAAAGUUUGUGGCUCAACCAUAAAAUUGCCUUUGAUACUGCAGGUCUUGAGUCAUGGUGGGGUCGCCGGAACAUGUGGUGUAGCGGUGAAAUGCAUAGAUAUCACAUAGAACACCGAUCGCGAAGGCAGGUGACCAACCAUGUACUGACGCUGAUGGACGAAAGCGUGGGUAGCGAACGGGAUUAGAUACCCCGGUAGUCCACGCCGUAAAACGAUGGAUACUAGCUGUGGGGACUUCGGUCUCCGUGGCCAAGCGAAAGUGAUAAGUUCCCCCCUGGA
rnacentral:rRNA from 1 species